rfam:Pleurotus ostreatus PC15 unplaced genomic scaffold scaffold_05, whole genome shotgun sequence.
GGCAACAUGGCCGAGUGGUCUAAGGCGCUGGAAUUAGGCAAUCACAGCUUAUCCAGUCCGAAAGGGCGUGAGUUCGAACCUCACUGUUGUCA